AGAGAAUCCAAUAAACACCAAAUAUAAUCUCAGAGAUGAACAUUCCCAUCCAUGUCCACCGCCCAGGGUGGCCCGCCGAAGGCAUCCCGGUUGCUCUGUAUGCCCAAAUCACAACAAUUGAAGCCAUCACCGUCGCCGCAAAAGCUCUGUAAGCUCCUCCACUGUGCCGCCCUUCUUUGGUUUCCACCAACGUACACGGCGUCGUUUCUCCAUUCUCCCCCUCUCUCAUCUCUCUUUCUUCUAAUCUCCCUUCCCAAGAAAAAAUAAUGGGCUUUAUUAUUUGAUUUCGUCCUCUCUUUAUUCUGGAGGAAAUCUAUUUAUAGCCUAUCUUUUCUUUUCAUUUCUAGCAUUUUAAUAACCGAGCGGAAUCCAAACGUAACUUAAUUCAUUACUAUCGUCUCUUUAUUUAAACACUAUUUUUCUUCUUUAUCUAUAUUUUUGGCCUUUUAUUCAUUUUGGGAUCAGUCGUGGUUCUUUACCUUUUUGUUAUUUUCAUUUUAGUUCUAUACUUCUAAAAUGAAUUUCAAAUAUUCGUUUUUGUCAUUAUAUUUUAAUCUUUAUUCAUUUCAGUCAAAGUCUUGGCUGAGUAGAAAAACAAUGAAUUUUCAAAUACAAGAAAGCUGGUUGCUACAAAUUAAGAGAGUAUGAAAGAAGAGUGUAAAGCUAGAGAAGGGUCAUACCAUAGAUUGAAACUGAGGUGAGAUGGUAGAUGGAAGAUAGAGGUAGAAGUAGAAGUAGAAUUAGACGUAGAUAAACCAUUUUCUUUUUUCUAUAUACUAACGCCAAAAUAAUUUCUUCAACUUUUCUUUUCAAUCAUUAAUACAUAUAUCAUCCAUGCAGUUUUACAAAUUUCAACAAAAUUUUAAAACAAUUUCCUAAUAACUUUCGUUUGUAUAUAUAACUUUAACGGUUAAGUAUAUUUUUUAGUUUUCUUUUUAAAAAUUAAAAAUUAUUAAUUAAAAUUUUCAUUUUAAAAUUGAAGCUACUUCAUUCAACUUUUCAAAUAUUAGGAGUAUUUUGAAAAUAAAAAAUUAGUAAUUAUAUAUGGUUUAAAAACUACCUUGAAAGGAGUUUUUUUUUUUUUUAAAGUUUAAAAAUAUUAAUGAAACUUUUAAAGGAUGAAAACUAAACCAAAAGAAAUAGAUAUAUAUUUUUUUUUAUAUAGAAUUAAGUAUAUAAACACUACUACUUCUACUUCUAAUUUUCUUUCUUUUGUUAUCUAAACUCCAUCAAUGGCUUAAAAAACUAUGCCAAAUCAUGAAAACUAAGAAAAAAAAAUAGGAUUUGGCUAAGAAUUUUACCAUGGCACUUAAGAAAUAUGCAAAUCAUUGUAAAAAAAUGAAGAAAAAAUAUGUUUAAUUUUCGAAAACAAAAAACGAAAACAAAUUGGCUACGAGAUGUGACUAUAGUUUUUUUAUUUUAAAUUGUUAACUUUUAAGAAAUUAAAUGACAGCCAUAAAAUUUAAAAUAGAAAUUACAAAUCAAUAUUAUAAAAUUGUUUUAAAUGAUAAAAUGUGUGACCCGAGUCUAGAAUAGAAGGGUCAUUUUGAAAUAAGAAGUUUGAUUAGAAAGAUUUUUGGAAAAUAGGCGUUUUGAAGUUGGUGUUGAAGCUAGGUGAUGCAAUGAGGAAAGUACGCGUUCAAGCUCUAUACGUGAGAAGAGUUAGGCGUUUGGCGAUGUAACGCGAGAUGAAGUUAGUUGAGAAAAGUUAAGUGUUUCAAGAAAAUGUCUAAUCUUCAUUUGACAAUUUAUCACAUGUUAAGUUUGGAUUAAGCAUGGUCUGGGAAGCUAAGUAAACUAACAUGUGUAAAGUUCUAAGUAGGAGUUGGCGAGCUAAAAGAAGCUUAAGGAUGACUAAUCCAGCUAAGCAUGAGCAUAAAUAGGAUUAAAGAAUCUAAAGAAAGUUGUUAUCCAUAGAUUUACUAAGAAAGUACCAAGUGUUGAGUUGCUGAGGAAGCACUAAGCGAGAAUAAGGGAUUUGAAGUUAGGCGUUCGGAAAGGAAGGAAGCUAAGACUAAGUAUUUUUGUGGGUGAUUUUAGAAAAGAAAGAAUAAUACUUUAAAAGCACUCAUUCUAAGUCUUUAUGUAAACCUCGAUUCCUGAGUCUUUAGGUAAUUUUAAGUAUUCUUCAAAAUUUUCAAGGAGCUUAAGAAUGUACUUUGGUGAAAAGAAGUAGGGAAAAGGAAUUUGUACCAAGAUUUUUAGUACUUAUGGCCGAAUUAAAAACAAGUAUAGUGAUUUGGGCUAAAAAGGAAUUUUACUUCAAGACUUCGUUAAAAAGGACAUUUGAACAAUAUUUUUCUAAAAUCAUAAAAAGCAUGAUGUGAUAGGAUUGAAGUAUCAUGAAAAUUCAAGAGAGAAAAAGGAAGUCAAGUAAAGGGGCUAGAUGAUAAGAAUGGAUGGGCAUGGAAGGGAAGAAGAAAGUUAAAGAAAAGAGCUAGAGCAAAGACAAAAAGGGAUGGACAAGGCAUGACAUGAAAGGAUGUUUGUUUUUUUUAAGUAGGAGAUGGACAACAUGCAAACUACCUAAGAAAAGCCUAGUUUAUAGUAUUGGACUCAGACAAAUUGGAGCAAAAAACAUUUGAGUUUGAGUUAAAAAGGGAGAAAAGUCAAUUUUUAGAGCAAUCUAAACAAGGUGCACUUCUGGAGGGCUCCAGAGUACAUCCUUUAGAUUAUGGAGCUCAAACUUUGAGAUAAGAUCUUAAGACACUUUUGAGCAACUUUGUAGAAGGAUAUUUUAUCAUUUGAGUUCUGAAUUUUGAGAUAUUAGCCUCCAAAGUUGAAAGAAUGAUUCUGGCAGAGAACCCAAUCUCUAGGCAUGACACAGGGAAGCAAAGCAACAAGGGCAUGCGCACGCACGGUGUAAGGAGCAUGCUUGUAUAGGGCGUUGUUUGCCUAUGAUUGUAUGCCCAAAUACCCCUAAUUUAUCUUCUCUUUAUGUCUUGUAUUUAGUUUUGCUUGUUGCUUUCCUUUUUAUGUCAUAAACCUAGGGUGUGACGUUUCGACAUUUUCAUAUGUAAGCCUACCAAAGCUGAAAAUGUCCAAAAUGUACUAUAGGGGAGGCAUAGUAGUUAAAUCUCCGCCCAAGCAUUGUCGCACUCUUUGCAAUUGAUAAUAUUUAUUGCUUGAUUUAACGAUAUUUUCAAUGAAUUUCUUUCUAUCUCACGUUUUAUAAUACAUUUUCUCAAGAAUGUGAAGAGAGGCUACAUCAUAUCUUGAGUUUGUCCAUGAUUUUUCAGAUUUUGAUCGGCUGACUAAGCAGAACAAGUGUCGCACAUCGACCAUCCUAAGUUUGAAAGACUACAAUUAUGACAGUUGGUAUCAUAUCCACGUUGGCUUAUUGAGAGUUAAGGCAGAAAUAUGUCGACCACGAAACAAUCGGGCAAGGCUCAUAUAUAUCGACUAGUAGAGCUUGAAGAGUAGAUGCUCACUUAAUUGAAGUUCUUGGCUCCAUCUGUUUCUUGAAGUCACGGCUUGAAGAAUUUUUUUAGAAAGUAAAUGCUAUUAACACGGUGGCUGGUUGUCUCGACGGUUUACCUAUAUAAGAGUUGUUGACAAAAGUUGACACUUUAGAAACAAAGUUGUAAGAACUUGAAAUGUAACCUACGAGCUGGGGACAGGUCGUCGUGCUCUAUUGCCUAUAUCGAAGAGCGUGUGGUUGAGCUAGAUAACUCUCAGAAGAUUCUUUUAGAAAUGAUAAACGACAUGUCAAAGGAUUUUCAAGCUGCUUUCGAUGUCGUUAGAAAUAAGAUCACAAAUGUGAGCACGAAGGUGUACCUCACAUUGACAAAUCAAGCUCCAGUUGGAGGAGCAAUACCGGUAAGUAUAAUAAAGAUUCCCAAACCCAAGCCCUUCUAUGAGGCAAGAGAUGCAAAGACCUUAGAGAACUUCAUUUUUUUUUUUGGUCUCGACCAAUACUUCAAGGCGACAAAUUGUGAACUCUGAACCCUAAGGAACUUAGAUUUUUUUAAAGAAAUUAAAACGGGUUUUGUAAACCUCUAACCUUAUUAAACUUAGACCUUUUCAAAAGUUAAAAAGGAUUAGGUUUAAGUGAAGUUAAGGCAAGGAAGUGGACUUGAGAAAUGACAUGAUAAGUGUGUUAUGAUGAGUAAAAGAAAGGAAGGUUUAGUGGUUAUAGUUUAAAAGGUAAAGAGAAAUUAAGUUGGAAGAAGGAAAAUUUUGGCUAAGUAAGGUAGUUUGUUGUUUUGGCUUUGGCAUAGGCGUUUACAGGUGUCCUUGCAUGCUUAACUUGAAUUUCAGCUGAAGGAGGUGACAAUAAAGUUUCAUGCAGGCUUCAGUAUAAAUUGGUCACUUCUGAUGAAAAUUUCUUCCAAACCAUUAGUGCAUUUUGGCUGAAAUUAGUCUAAAAAAAUUAAGUUUAAUUUCUAAGUUGAGGCUGUCGGACAAAUUUGAGAAAGGGAAGGUUGAGUUUGAGUUAAGAGAGGAGAGAAAGGUCAUUCUCGAGAGAAAUCUAAGUAGUGUUCACUUCCAGAAGGCUAUAAAGUUCAUCACAAAGAAUGUUUGGCUGAAAUUUUGAGGUAAAACUGUUCAGAAAAUUUAGAGAAGUUUUCUAGAAGAAAGUAUUUUCAUUUGAGUUCUGGAUAUUAAGUUAUAAAGCUCUAUAUUAUAAGUAAGAUUUUGGUCUAAUUUAAGUUUCUGAGCAACAGAUGUUUUUGGCGAAGUGUUAAGGGUUUGUUAGGCGAGUUGGGCAUGAGUUUUGGGUUAAAAGAGGUUAGCGUGGCGUUUUGGGUGAUGUUGGACGCAUAAGACGUGCAAGGACACUAGCGGCCAAGGAAAUACAUGACAAGCCAUACGCACGAAGGCCAUGCAAGAUGUGUUGGGCACACACGAGAUGGUUAGCGCGCAGUUGGCUUGCCCAGACCAUGUGGACGCUUGCAGCCUCUGCCGCCCACCCCCUGCGCGCCAGCCAUGCCAAAUUGGUGUUUUGGGGCUGUUUUUGUUAUUUUGGAAAAUUUUAAGCAAAGUUUUGAGGUUUUCAUGAUCAAAGGAAAUUAAUUGGAGUUAUUUCCCAUUACUUAAGGACAAGAUGAAAUUGUGCAAGUCUACUGACCAAGGGUUUAAACUUCGAGCAGUGAGUGAUAAAAUGAGUUUAAAGUUGAUUUUACUAAAUCUAAUUAUUUAUCAAAUGUUCUAAGCAAAUUUGAUGAUUUAAUGUGGAGUUUACUGUACUAAUUUACAAACUAAUAUUUAUUGUUAAGUCUAUGAAUAUUUGCAAAGUCAUAAUUUAUGAGCAUGUUUGAGUUUUGAAAUAGAAUUGUUAAUUAUUACAGAAAGUUGUUUAAAGAGCAUGAGCUUAAUUAUAAUAGUUUUAAAGAGAAAACUGUGGUACUCUAUUUACCAAGUUCUCGACGAUUAAUGUGCACAACAAAGAUAUCUUUUUUGUAUCCGUUCGAAAAAAGUUGCUACAAUAGAUAAAAGAGUAAUUGAAAGAUAGAGUAUUUGAAAGACAAGAAAGAGUUUAGUUUAAAGAAUUAAAAAGAUUUUAUACUUAUGUAAGUUUUAUGAAAAAGAUUAAAUGUGAGUUUAUUUUAAAAUAUGUUUUAUAAAAUCAUCACUCACAUGGUUAUUUAGCUUUCCCUUUCCAAAUGUUUUUCCACUUUCUAGGUAGAGGUCGUGAUCUGCAAGCCUGGCCGUUGUUUUCAAGUCUGUUGUGCAAAAGUUGUAGGUAAUUUUACUAUUGUUGGUUAGUACUUUGGCAUACUCCUAUUAUGUACAUAGGUUAAGUUAAGGGGUUAAGCUCAGUUGUAGUUUAUGUAUGGUUCUAAAAAGGAUAGUUCGUAUGUAAUGACAUUUAGCCUAAACUUGUUUUGAUCUAUUGUAAAAAAAAUAUUUAUGUUAGUUACAUUUUUCUACUUUCCACUGCGUAUGCUUUAAUUUACUCAAGUUAUUUAGCAUGAUUAAGGAUAUGUAGUCAGGAUCAACUAAUGUUGUUUAGAGAAGUAAAACGACGCUAGUUGAGUUCAUGUCAAUCUUGAGUCGAGCAAGCAGGUGCUUGAGGUGAGGUGUGACACAAAUACUAUCACAAAAGAAGCCAAAGUGACACUGGCGACUAUGCAUCUGUUUGAAGAUGCCUAAUUGUGGUGGAGAACCCAAUAUGUUUAAAUACAAGAAAGGCAUUGCACAAUAGACACGUGGGAUGCUCUAAAGAAAGAAC
rnacentral:lncRNA from 1 species